rnacentral:rRNA from 1 species
CCCAGACUCCUACGGGAGGCAGCAGUGGGGAAUAUUGCACAAUGGGGGAAACCCUGAUGCAGCGACGCCGCGUGAGUGAAGAAGUAUUUCGGUAUGUAAAGCUCUAUCAGCAGGGAAGAAAAUGGCGGUACCUGAUUAAGAAGCCCCGGCUAACUACGUGCCAGCAGCCGCGGUAAUACGUAGGGGGCAAGCGUUAUCCGGAAUUACUGGGUGUAAAGGGAGCGUAGACGGCUGUGCAAGUCUGGAGUGAAAGGCGGGGGCUCAACCCCCGGACUGCUCUGGAAACUGUAUGGCUGGAGUGCAGGAGAGGUAAGCGGAAUUCCUAGUGUAGCGGUGAAAUGCGUAGAUAUUAGGAGGAACACCAGUGGCGAAGGCGGCUUUCUGGACAUUAACUGACGCUGAGGCUCGAAAGCGUGGGGAGCAAACAGGAUUAGAUACCCGAGUAUA